CGUGUAGGCGGUUUGUUAAGUCUGAUGUGAAAGCCCCGGGCUCAACCUGGGAAGUGCAUUGGAUACUGGCAGACUUGAAUACGGGAGAGGGUAGUGGAAUUCCUGGCGUAGGAGUGAAAUCCGUAGAUAUCAGGAGGAACACCGGUGGCGAAGGCGGCUACCUGGACCGAUAUUGACGCUGAGACGCGAAAGCGUGGGGAGCAAACAGGAUUAGAUACCCUGGUAGUCCACGCCGUAAACGAUGAGUACUAGGUGUUGCGGGUAUUGACCCCUGCAGUGCCGCAGCUAACGCAUUAAGUACUCCGCCUGGGAAGUACGGUCGCAGGACUAAA
rnacentral:rRNA from 1 species